CACAGUGUAGCAAUACAUGGGUGGCGACCGGCAAACGGGUGCGGAACACGUACGCAACCUUCCUUCAGGCGGGGAAUAGCCCAGAGAAAUUUGGAUUAAUACCCCAUAAUAUUUUGAGAUGGCAUCAUCUUAUUAUUAAAGCUACGGCACCUGGAGAUGGGCGUGCGGCUGAUUAGGUAGUUGGCGGGGUAAUGGCCCACCAAGCCUACGAUCAGUAGCUGAUGUGAGAGCAUGAUCAGCCACACGGGCACUGAGACGCGGGCCCGACUCCUACGGGAGGCAGCAGUAAGGAAUAUUGGUCAAUGGACGCAAGUCUGAACCAGCCAUGCCGCGUGGAGGAUGAAGGUCCUCUGGAUUGUAAACUUCUUUUAUCUGGGACGAAAAAAGGGUUUUCUAACUCGUCUGACGGUACCAGAUGAAUAAGCACCGGCUAACUCCGUGCCAGCAGCCGCGGUAAUACGGAGGGUGCAAGCGUUAUCCGGAUUCACUGGGUUUAAAGGGUGCGUAGGCGGGCAUUUAAGUCAGUGGUGAGAUACCUGAGCUUAACUUGGGAACUGCCAUUGAUACUAUUUGUCUUGAAUGUCGUGGAGGUUAGCGGAAUAUGUCAUGUAGCGGUGAAAUGCUUAGAUAUGACAUAGAACACCUAUUGCGAAGGCAGCUAACUACGCGAAUAUUGACGCUGAGGCACGAAAGCGUGGGGAUCAAACAGGAUUAGAUACCCUGGUAGUCCACGCCCUAAACGAUGAUUACUCGACAUUAGCGAUACACUGUUAGUGUCUGAGCG
rnacentral:rRNA from 1 species